rnacentral:rRNA from 1 species
AUUGAACGCUGGCGGCAGGCCUAACACAUGCAAGUCGAGCGGAGCGACGGCCGGGUGAGUGAUGCCGAGGAAUCUGCCUGGUAGUAGGGGCUAACGUCCGGACAAGGACGCUAAUGCCACAUACUAUCAGAUCAGCCUAGGUCGGAUUAGCUAGUGGGUGGGGGAAAGGCCUACCAAGGCGACGAUCCGUAACUGGUCUGAGAGGGGGUUCAGUCACACUGGAACUGAGACACGGUCCAGACUCCUACGGGAGGCAGGAGUGGGGAAUAUUGGAAAAGGGGCGAAAGCCUGAUCCAGCCAUUCCGCGGGUGUGAAGAAGGUCUUCGGAUUGUAAAGCACUUUAAGUUGGGAGGCGUUACCAACAGAGUAAGCACCGGCUAACUUCGUGCCAGCAGCCGCGGUAAUUC